UUUUCCCUACUUCAUGUCUGUACACAAGCAGAGGCUUUCCCAACAAAAGCUUCAUUUCCCGUGCUGGUUGUAUUUCUCUGUGAGUCUUUGAUUCCUUCAUUUCGGAAGAAAAGAUGGUUGUGGUGGAGGCGUUUCUGUCUUCCUUGUUUGAGGUGGUGCUGGACAAGCUGGUGGCUACCCCUUUGUUAGAUUAUGCACGCCGGAUCAAAGUAGACACAGCAGUGCUCCAGGAGUGGAGGAACACUUUGUUGCAUCUCCAAGCAGUGCUGCAUGAUGCUGAGCAGAGGCAGAUUCGGGAGGAAGCGGUGAAGAGGUGGGUGGACGAUCUCAAAGCUUUAGCUUACGACAUCGAAGAUGUCCUGGACGAGUUUGACAUGGAGGCUAAGCGAUGCAGUUGGGUACAAGGGCCCCAAACCAGCACCAGCAAGGUAUGGAAGUUUAUCCCCUCUUUUCAUCCUAGCGGUGUGAUUUUCAAUAAGAAGAUUGGUCAAAAGAUCAAGAUAAUCACCCGAGAAUUAGAUGAGAUUGUAAAAAGAAAGUCUGGUCUCCAUCUGACACAGAGUGUUGGAGGGGUGUCAUCAGUGACUGAACAAAGGUUGACUACUUCUUUGAUAGAUAAGGCUGAGUUUUAUGGUAGGGAUGGUGAUAAGGAGAAGAUCAUGGAAUUGUUGCUAUCUGAUGAAAUAGCUAGUGCUGAUAAGGUUCAGGUGAUUCCGAUUGUUGGUAUGGGUGGGGUUGGAAAAACAACCCUCGCUCAAAUGAUCUAUAACGACAAGAGGGUUGGGGACAAUUUCGAUAUCAGAGUUUGGGUGUGUGUAUCUGAUCUGUUUGAUUUGGUAGGGAUAACGAAAGCAAUUUUAGAGUCGGUCUCUAGGCAUUCAUCUGAUACUUCUAAUACACUGCAAUCACUACAAAAUAGUUUGCAGGAAAAGUUGAAGGGACAAAGGUUUUUCCUUGUGCUGGAUGAUAUAUGGAAUGAGGAACCCAGUCGCUGGAGUACCUUACAAGCUCCUUUUAGAAAUGGAGCACAAGGCAGUGUGGUAAUGGUAACAACUCGUCUUGAAGAUGUUGCAUCUAUUAUGCGCACCACCUCUUCCCAUCAUCUUAGUAAACUCUCUGAUGAAGAUUGUUGGUCACUAUUUGCAGGCAUUGCCUUCGAAAACGCAACUCCAGAUGCCCGCCAAAACUUGGAACCUAUUGGUAGGAAAAUAAUAAAGAAAUGUGACGGUUUGCCUUUGGCUGCAAAUACAUUGGCAGGUCUGUUGCGCUGUAAACAAGAUGAGAAGACUUGGAAGGAUAUGCUGAACAGCGAAAUAUGGGAUUUACGAACAGAACAAAGUAGAAUUCUUCCGGCUCUACACUUGAGUUACCAUUACCUCCCUACAAAAGUGAAGCAGUGCUUUGCAUAUUGUUCCAUCUUUCCAAAGGAUUAUGAAUUUCAAAAGGAGGAGUUAAUUUUGUUGUGGAUGGCGCAAGGUUUAGUGGGUAGCUUGAAAGGAGGGGAGACGAUGGAAGAUGUUGGUGAAAUAUGUUUUCAGAACCUAUUAUCAAGGUCUUUCUUUCAACAAUCCGGUCAUAAUAAGUCAAUGUUUGUGAUGCAUGAUUUGAUUCACGAUUUGGCUCAAUUUGUAUCCGGAGAAUUUUGUUUCAGAUUGGAAAUGGGACAGCAAAAAAAUGUUUCAAAGAAUGCUCGACAUUUGUCAUACGAUCGUGAAUAUUUUGAAAUCUCCAAGAAAUUUGAUCCCCUUCAUGACAUCGAUAAAUUACGGACGUUCCUACCAUUAAGUAAGUCUGGCUAUAAAUGCUACUUAAGUGAUAAAGUCCUACACGAUGUAUUGCCGAAAUUCAGAUGUAUGCGGGUUUUAUCCUUAUCUUACUAUAAUAUCACUUAUUUGCCCGAUUCAUUGGGAAAUUUGAAACAUUUGCGGUAUUUGAACCUUUCUAACACUAAAAUUCGGAAGUUACCUAAAUCAAUAGGUAUGCUUUUGAAUUUGCAAUCAUUGAUUUUGUCAGAAUGUCGUUGGCUUACCGAGUUACCGGCCGAGAUUGGAAAGCUCAUCAACUUGCGUCAUUUGGAUAUUUCUAAAGCAAAAAUAGAAGGGAUGCCAAUGGGAAUCAAUGGAUUAAAAGAUCUUCGAAUGUUGACUACUUUUGUUGUUGGCAAGCAUGGUGGUGCAAGACUCGGGGAGUUACGAGAUCUUGCACACCUACAAGGAGCACUCUCCAUUUUAAAGUUGCAGAAUGUGGAGAAUGCUACAGAAGUUAAUUUGAUGAAAAAGGAAGACCUUCACGACUUAGUGUUUGCAUGGGAUCGAAAUGCGAUUGUUGGUGACUUGGAGAUUCAAACCAAAGUUCUCGAAAAGCUUCAGCCUCAUAACAAGGUGAAAAGGCUCAGCAUUGAAUGCUUCUAUGGCAUAAAAUUUCCAAAAUGGUUAGAAGAUCCUUCGUUCAUGAAUUUAGUUUUCUUACAACUUAGAGAUUGUAAAAAUUGCUUGUCUUUGCCGCCACUUGGGCAGUUACAGUCUCUCAAGGAUCUCUGUAUUGUGAAGAUGGCUGGUGUGCGAAAGGUAGGUGUAGAGUUGUAUGGGAAUAGCUAUUGUAGUUCAACUUCAAUUAAGCCAUUUGGAUCCCUAGAGAUUCUGAGGUUCGAAGAGAUGUUAGAGUGGGAGGAAUGGGUUUGUCGUGAAAUUGAAUUCCCUUGUUUGAAGGAGCUUUAUAUCAAGAAAUGUCCAAAGCUGAAAAAGGAUUUACCCAAACACCUUCCUAAAUUAACAAAACUUGAGAUUAGUGAAUGCGAGCAGCUGGUGUGUUGUCUUCCAAUGGCUCCCUCCAUUCGUGAAUUGAUGUUGAAUGAAUGUGAUGAUGUGAUGGUUAGGAGUGCGGGCAGUCUCACCUCAUUGGCUUCUUUGUAUAUAAUCAAUGUUUGCAAAAUACCAGAUGAAUUAGGACAACUGAAUUCUCUUGUAGAGUUGUGUGUGUAUUGUUGUCCCGAGCUAAAGGAAAUUCCACCCAUUCUUCACAGCCUUACCUCUCUUAAAAACUUGAACAUCAAGACUUGUGAGAGUCUCGCAUCUUUUCCGGAGAUGGUGCUGCCACCCAUGCUUGAAAGGCUUGAAAUCAGAGGCUGUCCCACUCUGGAGUCCCUACCAGAGGGAAUGAUGCAAAAUAAUACUACUCUCCAACUCUUGGUAAUCGGGGGUUGUGGUUCUCUGAGGUCCUUGCCCAGGGACAUUGAUUCAUUGAAGGGACUUUCAAUCUACGGGUGUAAGAAAUUGGAGUUAGCACUCCACGAGGAUAUGACGCACAACCACUACGCUUCCCUUACCAAUUUCUUGAUAAGUAAUUGUGAUUCUCUCACGUCCUUUCCAUUAGCUUCCUUCACAAAGCUUGAGACGCUUCAUUUACAUUGUACAAAUCUGGAGUCCCUUUACAUUCCAGAUGGACUUCACCACGUGGAUCUCACAUCUCUCCAGUCAUUGGAAAUAUCUAAUUGCCCUAAUCUGGUAUCUUUUCCGCAAGGAGGAUUGCCCACUCCCAAUUUAAGAAGGCUUUGGAUAUGGAAAUGCGAAAAGCUUAAGUCACUGCCCCAAGGGAUGCACACCCUCCUUACAUCCCUUCAAGCUUUGUAUAUAAAUGAUUGUCCAGAAAUUGAUUCAUUUCCAGAAGGGGGAUUGCCCACUAAUCUAUCUAAGCUUAAGAUCAGGAAUUGCAGCAAACUCGUGGCCAAUCAGAUGGAGUGGGGCUUGCAAACGCUUCCCUUUCUUAGAAUGUUGGAGAUUGCAGGAUAUGAGAAAGAAAGAUUUCCCGAGGAGCGAUUUCUGCCCUCCGCUCUCACCUCCCUUGAAAUUAGGGGUUUUUCAAAUCUGAAAUCCCUGGACAAUAAGGGGUUUCAGCACCUCACCUCUCUUGAAACUCUGCAGAUUCAGAAUUGUGGAAACCUCAAGUCCUUCCCAAAACAAGGGCUGCCCUCCUCCCUUUCACGUCUUUAUAUUAAAGAGUGUCCUCGGCUGAAGAAACGGUGCCAAAGGGAUAAAGGGAAAGAAUGGCCCAACAUUUCUCACAUCCCCUGCAUAGCGUUCGACUUAGACGAUACGAAAAAUGAGGAGGUGAUCUUAUCAUGAGGCCCUUCCGUCGAAGCUCUUGCUCUCCUCUGCAUUUAUUGGCCCAGCUUCCACAUUGGGCAUCAUUUAAGAAUUUGAAAGAAGUACUUGUACUUGCAUAACAAUGAGAGGUUCAUUUGAAGGAGGCACCAUUGAAGCAUGCUAGGGUGCAUUCUGUCGGGGAAGUAAAAGAUGGUUAAUUAGCCUUUCAGAAGUCAAAAUUAAAUAAGAUGUUCUAAAUUUUUGGAACUCCAGUGCAAUGAAAAGAUAGAAUGAAGGGCUCUGACAAAUGUACUAACCGCUGCAAAGUGCCCUCAUUUUGAUAGGAUGGAGAUUUUGCCAAUAGAGAUAGCUUGUUGGAAGGUGAUGUGGAAUCAUAAAGACGUGGAAUCAUAUGGAAGAGAUAAGCAAAUGAUACACUUCCAAGUUCUCCUCGCUUGCAUGGGACUCAGGUACACCAUUCUGCAUGGAAAUAUGUGGGAAGAGUGAUUCUCUUCUUUGUUAUUAAUUAGUUCAUCGUUAAUUAGCUGGAAUCCAAGUGGAUGAUAUGAACAUCCAUACUGGCACCAUUAUGAUAUUUCUUGGAAAUUAUCUGCAGGUGGAACUUUGAUUGAUAUUUUGCUAAUGAUCUAUAUAUCCCCUGCCUUCAGUCUUGGGAUAGCAGUAUUCAGAUAGAUUUCUGCCACCUUUAAUUAAGAUCUUCUAUUCCCAUAAAACCAUGUGUAAGCAAUCCUGCUUUCUAUCACUGUAGAAGAGCCUAUCUUCAAAUGAAUGCUUUUUGUUGACUUCAUUACAUGGGACCCUGAUCCAACACUGGACUCCAAAAGGAGAACAAACAUGCAAACUGAAAUGUAUGUUGAUUCUAAUAACUUAAUUCUCAAUCCCUAACUUGAGGAAAUGAGAGGCAAUAAUAAAUGGAAAUUUUAUCGGGUUUCUCUAGCAGCACAUCCUGACAUGGUCUGAAAAUCUUGACAGGAAAAAUUAAGAGAAAUGCUUUUAAUUUUGGAAAAGCGGAGUAAUUCUGUUUGAAGUUGAUAGAAAUGUUCGAGGAUUUCGUCUGUCUUUAAUGUAGGUAAGAUAUUGAGUAGGUCCUUAACAAAAGCAGUUUGUUGGAGGCUUCUGCCCAACUCAUUGGAUUUCUUAAAUACUUUCCCUCCUUCAUUUCCCAUUUUACUGGGGUUUUAUAUCUUGCUCCAUGCUGUCUAGGAACUCAAAAUUCCUCAGAUGUCCUUUCAGCUGUUCAUAAGGUUGUAAAUGUGCCUCAUAUAUGGCAGCUUGUUCAUGGAAUACUUGGAUGUGCAAUUCAAUGAUUGGGGUUCUCAUAGUUGCUACAAAUUUGGCGCAGGAUAUCACACACACUCCAAUUAACUGGAUGACUUGACUAUCAGAACAAGCUAUUCAAUUUUAUUUUUUGUUUUUAAGCUCCCAUGAAAAGAUGGCAAGCAUUAGCCUUGGCCCAUGAAAGAAAGCCAUUCUCAUCAUAACUGAUUUAUAUGUCAACUAAAAUGGCAGCCACUUCACAUCUCUUCAACAUCUGCAGUUGUUGGAAACCUCCAUUGAUGGCAAGUUUCUUUCACUGUUUCCCAUGUACACAUAUGUUGUUCCCACAAACCAUGCAUCUUCUAUUCUCUCUUGGGAGAUGUUUUAUGAUGAGAUAUUGCUAUUUGUA